rnacentral:lncRNA from 1 species
CAUGAUAUAAAAUGUUCCUAAUAUAUCAAGUAAAGUUAUUACAUCAAAGUUCUUCUAAUCCCAGGUACAUAUUCCUUUAAACGUUUAUUACAUGAUAGUUUAAUAUUUACAAACAUGAAAACUCUUUAUUAUAUCAACUUUCAGCUAUUCUACUACUUUUCCUUUUCCCUUAUCUUUUCCAGACCCUUCUGCCCGAGUCUGCUCAGCUGAAAACAUUUAUAAUAAAACAAGUAUGAGCAUUUAAUUGCUCAGCAAGUAAUAGCAGUCUUUAAGGCUCAACAAGAAAUAAAUGUUUUCUUUGAAGCAUGCUUUGACAGUGAAUCAAAUCUGUAAAGCAAUAAAUCUUGAAUCAUUCAUAUUUCUGAAAUAUCGUAACAUUGAAUAACUGAGAGGUUUUAAGACCAUGAACAUAUUUUUCUUUUCUUGAAAAGGUUCAAUCAGAAAUAUUAUCAGAUGAACCGUCUUAUCUUACGAGCACAUAGGGUGAUCAACCAUUUAUGCCUUGUAUUGAACAAUACUAUCUUUUCCAGAACAAUUUUCAUGUUCUACAUCACCACUCCUAGAGUGCAAUAAAAAUAUCCCAUUUAAGGGUAUGUUCAUUCUCAGUUUUAGAUUCCAACUACAACAAUAUAGCUGGACAACUUAAAUCAUGGCACAAUAAUAUUUCAAGACUAAUAUAAAGAAACUGAAUUAUUUCAUAGCUGUGUCUGGACAGAAGAAAUGGCUCAGACUUCUUUGCAACCUGCUCAUGCAUAAGAUAAUAGCUUACCCAAUCUUUUGAAGCUGAUUGGAAUAAAAAGAUUAUUCAAUCUUACAAUAUUCAUAAAUAAUGAAAGACAGUUCAGAAAUUAGAGAACCUGUCAAUAUAUGAAUAAUCUCAUAAUACUUGCUCAAUAAAGAGUAAGAUUUAGAUACUUGUCUUGUCUGUAGACUAUGUGUACAAUUUCAACUUAACUUGUGUAUUCUCACUGAUCCUACACAAUUAUUUGCAUUUACAAGCAUAUUAGCUAAAUAAACAAGUCAUAUAGCUUGUAUGAUUACAUAUCACAUACACAGUGAUCAUGUUUUUAGUUAAUAUUCUCAUACUUGAGAUAUUUAUUUACAUUUUUCAAAUAUCUUAUUCAUGUUCUUAUAAUAGCCUUUUCUUUCUUUUUUUAGGGUCUGACAUAACUUCUGCUCAAGAUUCUUCUAUGAUUUUAGUUUAUAUUUCUUUUCUAAGUUAUGUCAAGUUAGCUCCGUUGCGGUGAUAGCAAUUCUUUGCGACACUAAUAGCCUAAACUUGGCUGAAUAAUUUUAAAUUAAAAGUCUAAUCAUAUCAACCAUUGUUUUAUAGAUUGCAACUUUACUUAUAAUAAAUUACGUGUUUUAGGUGUGACUAAAACUUGUUUGGAUAAUUUAUAAUUCCAAUUAUUUGUAGUUUCAAAAUUUUUUUUAUACUAAGAUGCUAAACAUUCUUGUUUCCCUUUUUAAUGCCAAAAUAGCCCUUUGAGGCUUUAAUAGUUUAAACAUGACUUAAUAAUUUCAAAUUAGAGGUUCAUCUAUGCUAGCUUUAUUUUAGAGUGUACUAACUCACUUAUACAAAACUUGGGUCCCUUAUAGAUGUGUUAACACUAACAUAUUUUAACAGCAUACCAAAACAUUACCCUUCAUGUUAAUAACCACCCAACCAUAGACACUGUUGUAGCAGCUUCUGGGUUGUUGAAUAGGCCAAUUGUUGAUGCCUAUGGGCAGCAGCCCUUAUUGCUUACCCCAUGCCUUGACCAACCCUUAAUGCAUACACCUUUAAUUUGAUUAUAUAGAAUUAAGACACAUUAAUAGCAUAAUCUGAUAAACAUAGGUUGGUUGAUCAUAAGCUAAGUAAAUCCCCAGGCCUUGCUCCCAAAAUGGCUCCUGCUGCCGUUAGGCAGCAGCCCUGCCCCUCCUCCCAUUUUUAAGUUAUAACUUAUUACUCCUCCCAUUUUUAAGUUAUAACUUAUUUACUCUAAUAUGCUACAAUUUUGGAGACAAGGCAGUUUGCAUACCUCUAUAUUUAGCAAAAUACUAAUCAAGUUGCAUAAACAUCUUAAUCAAGUCGACUGACAGCUCAAAAGAAAGCCCCAGCCCUGCCCACUGCAACUACUACUGCCACGGCUACUGUUAUAGGCAGCCUUUAGCCUAGCAUGGCUAUUUUUUUCCUAAUCUCAUGCUUCUAACCACAUGAUGAUUUACCUUUCUUUUUAAAUAUAUAGUAUAUAGCAUAAGAGAGUAUAUCUAGAAAUUAUAAAACCUCUAUCUCAAGCUUGCUAGGCAGCCCAACUCAGCACUCAAAGUUGCCUUGAUAUACCAUUUUUCAAUUUUUUACAUUAGCUUGGAUUUGAAUUUCGUUUCACUCUAAUAUAUUUAAACUUGCUAAUUAUCAUCACAUAAAAUACAGAAAUCAAUCCCCAAGCUUUAAUUCUAUCAAAUUAGCAGUUGUUAAGCAAAACAGUCCAUUGAGGACUUUUAUCAAACACCUUACAGGCACUGUUUUGCAACACAAGUGCCAUAACUAUUUAUUUUCUUUAAAACCCCAAUUUAGUUUCCUUAUUACUCCACAGCCACCUAUCUCCUUGUGCCUAAAUUAUAUUCAUAGCAGUUGAUUACAUAAUCAUAGGAAUGAAUAAUCAAGUAGUUGACAAUCUAAUUAAUUUUAUUCUCUUCAUAACAUGCAAUACUUUUGAUAACACAUUUAUAUCAAAUAGAAAAAUCCCACUAUGUUUAGCAUGUUAUCCCCGAAUGGUUACAGUGCUUUAUAAAAAUCAAAUCGGUAGCACACCUUCCCAAUCAACCCAUAGCAAUUUCCAUAACCAUUAAUUAGUGCAUAUUAAACAUCUUAAAGUAAGUAUAUAUUGCAAAGAUGCAUUACCUUUCUAAGCCUUGAUUUCCGAAUUAGUUGGUUGCAACCCAAUACUUCUUCGAGUUUCUCUUCACUUGACAGCGUAUCCUUUUUCAGUUAUCAAUUACGAACAAAGUUUACCCAAAACUAACAGAGCAUUAAGCGUCUAACCAUUUCUUAUUUGUAACAGCAUAAAGACUAUAAAUUUAGAAGGAAAUAGAAAAAAGUUAUGAGAUAUCUGGGUUCUAAUAUUCUUAUCAGAUAUUUGAACUUAAGGAGCAUACACUGCACUUGGCUAAUACGUUUAUAGGUUAGCUGAGUUGUUUAAGCUAUGUUUCUUAAAUAAAUGCCAGCU